rnacentral:rRNA from 1 species
AACAAACGCUGGCGGCGUGCCUAAUACAUGCAAGUCGAACGGGUAGCAAUACCAGUGGCGCACGGGUGAGGAAUACAUAGAUAAUCUGCCUUCGAGUCGGGGAUAACCAGUCGAAAGAUUGGCUAAUACCGGAUAAGACCACAGGAGCUGGGGCUCUAGGGGUUAAAGGUUUUUCGCUUGAAGAUGAGUCUAUGCGAGAUUAGGUAGUUGGUGAGGUAAUGGCUCACCAAGGCGACGAUCUCUAACUGGUCUUAGAGGAUGAUCAGUCACACUGGAACUGAGACACGGUCCAGACUCCUACGGGAGGCAGCAGUAGGGAAUAUUGCGCAAUGGGGGAAACCCUGACGCAGCGACGCCGCGUGAGUGAUGAAGGCCUUCGGGUCGUAAAGCUCUGUCGUAUGGGAAUAACACAAUGAAUGUACCAUGCAAGAAAGGAUCGGCUAACUUCGUGCCAGCCGCCGCUGUAACAC